AUUGAACGCUGGCGGAAUGCUUUACACAUGCAAGUCGAACGGCAGCAUAGGUGCUUGCACCUGAUGGCGAGUGGCGAACGGGUGAGUAAUACAUCGGAACGUGCCCAGUCGUGGGGGAUAACGUAGCGAAAGUUACGCUAAUACCGCAUACGAUCUAAGGAUGAAAGCGGGGGACCGUAAGGCCUCGCGCGAUUGGAGCGGCCGAUGUCAGAUUAGGUAGUUGGUGAGGUAAAGGCUCACCAAGCCGACGAUCUGUAGCUGGUCUGAGAGGGCGACCAGCCACACUGGGACUGAGACACGGCCCAGACGCCUACGGGAGGCAGCAGUGGGGAAUUUUGGACAAUGGGCGAAAGCCUGAUCCAGCCAUUCCGCGUGCAGGAUGAAGGCCCUCGGGUUGUAAACUGCUUUUGUACAGAACGAAAAGGUUUCUACUAAUACUAGGAGCUCAUGACGGUACUGUAAGAAUAAGCACCGGCUAACUACGUGCCAGCAGCCGCCGCCG
rnacentral:rRNA from 1 species